CCCCGGUAAACAGAAAGGACCAGAAAUAUAUCCUGAUGAAAAAGUCUCUCCUUCCUGGGGCAAGUAGAACAAAGGACAACUAGUCCGUGACAUCUUCAUGCUGACAAUCGUCUCUCACCUGGUUGUCAGCGGUCUCAUUGACAAUCAUUACCAGACAGAUCUGACAAGGUCAGGGCUCUCUGAGGACGUGGGAAAUCUUCCUGUGAUAGAAGAGGGCAUCUGGCCGUUCCUGUUUUUUGGCAAAGUAGAAACCCUUAUGAGGAACUCAGUCUAAGGAAAUUUGCAAAUACGUGCCAGUCAGGAAGAUCAAGGAAAAGCCAGAUUUUUAUAACAUUUGAGUGCAUUUGUAUAAUAGAAUAUUAUGCAGCAAUUUAAAAUAAUGGCACAGAUCUGUAUUUACUGACAUGGAAAGAUGACCUGAACAUAUUACUGGGUGAAGACAGGUUACAAGCACAAAGGAAUGACAGAACUGGAGCGUGUUCCCGGCUACCCAUUGUGCCAGCCAUCUUUUGCUUCAGUAUAUGGGCUGAGAAACUUUUGCACAAUGAAGCUACAGUGUUUUCCAGUUUGAACAUCAAUCAACAUGCUUAAAAUACCUUAUACCAUCACCAAACAAAGAUGCCUCUGUUCUUGACUGCUGGUUCAGAAAUCCCCUCAGAACUGCUGGGAAUGGAGUUGUGCUAAUAACUAACAGCCAGAGUUCCAGGACACCGUGGACCCGUGUGGCUGGACAGGGGCAUAAAGGUCUCAGGUAUCUGCUUCUCUUCCGUCAUUCCAG
rnacentral:lncRNA from 1 species